AAAAUAAUUUUAAGUCUAAUCUGCUCAAUGAAUAAUUUUAAAUAGCUGCAGUAUAAAUAACUGUACAAAGGUAGCAUAAUAAUUUGUUUUUUAAUUGAAAACUAGAAUGAAUGAUUAAAUGAAAUAUAAACUAUAUCAAAUUUAAAAAAUAAAUUUAUUAUUUAAAUAAAAAAAUUUAAAUAAUUUUUAAAGACGAGAAGACCCUAAAGAAUUUUAAUAAUAAAUUAUAAUAUAAAUUUUAAAUUUAUUAUAUUAAUUGGGGAAAUUUUAAAAUUUAAAAAAUUUUUAAUUAAAUAAACAUAAAUUUUUGAAUAUUUAAAAUUUUUUAAAAAAUUAAAUUAAAUUACCUUAGGGAUAACAGCAUAAUUUUUUUAAAAAGUUCAAAUUUAUAAAAAAGUUUAUGACCUCGAUGUUGAAUUAAGAUUAAAUUUAAUAGAAAAAUAUUAAAAAUUUAAGUCUGUUCGACUUUUAAAAUCUUACAUGAU
rnacentral:rRNA from 1 species